CACCAUGCCUUUAAUAUCUAAACACAAUAUCUGUCCCUACUGCACCAGAACCAAAUUAGAUCCUUUUGCUUGUGACUCAGGGUUUGGAGACUACAAUGUGCUUCGCAGCAGUGUGGUUGUUGUUCAAAGGGAAGAGCUCCUAAUUUCAAGCACUGGUCAGGGAGGCAGGUAAACACUAAAUUGGUAGGUGAUUACUCUGAAGAAUACAUCUAUACCAUGAAGUUGCAGGGGAGCUUAGAUGCUUUCACAGCCAUGAGGACUCAACAUUCGUCAUCUGAAUGGAAAGACAUAAUCUCAAACUCCUUUUUGAAGCCAGGCAAUGUUAUCCUAGUCUAAAUUGAUCCUAACUAAGGAUAAUCAAAGGAUUUUGCAUUUUUCUCAUGAAAACCAUAUAUACUGUAAGGAAAAGAGAAAGGAGACCAAGAGUCUAAAGACCUGGUAGAAAAUAGUAAAAAGGGAGAGAGAACAAAGAUCCUGAAUGGAUGACUUAGAAGAGUUUGGAGAGAGGAGGUGGAGGAAGAUGGCAGAGGAGAUGCCUCCCUGAGUCAACUCUCCUGGUGGUUUCAGGUGAGAGUGGGCUUAUUGGAUCUCUUCCGUGUGGAGUCCCUGCGCAGAUAAGCAGUGCAGGGCAAGCAGCAAAGAGGUGAAUUGCUGGAUUGGGAGUGUAGCCCAGAACUACGGUGUCAGCCAGAAAAAACUCAGAGCAGCAGCUGACACAGCACCAUCUGCGACCUGCGGAGCCAGGUCCGUGGCUUGUGUCCUGAGAGACAGAAACCAAUCCCUCCCCCAUG